rnacentral:rRNA from 1 species
GACGAACGCUGGCGGCGUGCUUAACACAUGCAAGUCGAACGGAAAGGCCCUGCUUUUGUGGGGUGCUCGAGUGGCGAACGGGUGAGUAACACGUGAGUAACCUGCCCUUGACUUUGGGAUAACUUCAGGAAACUGGGGCUAAUACCGGAUAGGAGCUCCUGCUGCAUGGUGGGGGUUGGAAAGUUUCGGCGGUUGGGGAUGGACUCGCGGCUUAUCAGCUUGUUGGUGGGGUAGUGGCUUACCAAGGCUUUGACGGGUAGCCGGCCUGAGAGGGUGACCGGCCACAUUGGGACUGAGAUACGGCCCAGACUCCUACGGGAGGCAGCAGUGGGGAAUAUUGCACAAUGGGCGGAAGCCUGAUGCAGCAACGCCGCGUGCGGGAUGACGGCCCUCGGGUUGUAAACCGCUUUCGCCUGUGACGAAGCGUGAGUGACGGUAAUGGGUAAAGAAGCACCGGCUAACUACGUGCCAGCAGCCGCGGUGAUACGUAGGGUGCGAGCGUUGUCCGGAUUUAUUGGGCGUAAAGGGCUCGUAGGUGGUUGAUCGCGUCGGAAGUGUAAUCUUGGGGCUUAACCCUGAGCGUGCUUUCGAUACGGGUUGACUUGAGGAAGGUAGGGGAGAAUGGAAUUCCUGGUGGAGCGGUGGAAUGCGCAGAUAUCAGGAGGAACACCAGUGACGAAGGCGGUUCUCUGGGCCUUUCCUGACGCUGAGGAGCGAAAGCGUGGGGAGCGAACAGGCUUAGAUACCCUGGUAGUCCACGCUGUAAACGGUGGGUACUAGGUGUGGGGUCCAUUCCACGGGUUCCGUGCCGUAGCUAACGCUUUAAGUACCCCGCCUGGGGAGUACGGCCGCAAGGCUAAAACUCAAAGGAAUUGACGGGGCCCCGCACAAGCGGCGGAGCAUGCGGAUUAAUUCGAUGCAACGCGUAGAACCUUACCUGGGUUUGACAUGGAUCGGGAGUGCUCAGAGAUGGGUGUGCCUCUUUUGGGGUCGGUUCACAGGUGGUGCAUGGCUGUCGUCAGCUCGUGUCGUGAGAUGUUGGGUUAAGUCCCGCAACGAGCGCAACCCUUGUUCACUGUUGCCAGCACGUUAUGGUGGGGACUCAGUGGAGACCGCCGGGGUCAACUCGGAGGAAGGUGGGGAUGACGUCAAGUCAUCAUGCCCCUUAUGUCCAGGGCUUCACGCAUGCUACAAUGGCUGGUACAGAGAGUGGCGAGCCUGUGAGGGUGAGCGAAUCUCGGAAAGCCGGUCUCAGUUCGGAUUGGGGUCUGCAACUCGACCUCAUGAAGUCGGAGUCGCUAGUAAUCGCAGAUCAGCAACGCUGCGGUGAAUACGUUCCCGGG